rnacentral:rRNA from 1 species
CGGCGAUACCCGAUUGGGGAAACCCAGUGUGAUUCGUCACACUAUCAUUAACUGAAUCCAUAGGUUAAUGAGGCGAACCGGGGGAACUGAAACAUCUAAGUACCCCGAGGAAAAGAAAUCAACCGAGAUUCCCCCAGUAGCGGCGAGCGAACGGGGAGGAGCCCAGAGCCUGAAUCAGCAUGUGUGUUAGUGGAAGCGUCUGGAAAGGCGCGCGAUACAGGGUGACAGCCCCG